rnacentral:lncRNA from 1 species
GGAGGAUGCUGUCAAUCCAGAGUCUGACAGCUUCUUGCUCCUAUAUCUGCUUGCUCCAGCUGCCUCUAGGUCCUGACCACUUGCUCAGCAGAGAAGCCUUGACCACUACCUUUCUUCCAUCUCUUAACAUUGUCAGCUGUCCCAGCCUCCCCAAGGCUUUACAACGAAUGUAAAAGACAAGUCUCAGGAAAAGAUGUAAUUUUAUGGAAGAAAAAAGAUAGAAAAUAACAUUACCCAAAUGAAAACAGAUGAAGAUAAAGAUCAUUUCUUGAACAAUAUCUUCACAUCAUGGCUGGGCAAAGUGGAAAGAGACAGAAAACUGAAAAGUGACAACUUAAAAACUUUCUUUAAACAUAUCACUCUGACACCAAUGUGUAAGAUGAAGUGGACAGGAAUGGAACUGUACUGGGAGGCUCUGACAGUUCGGGUGAGAAGAAAUGAAGGGUCCUGUAAGCAGAUGAGCAGAUGAACAGAAGAGCAGAAGAGCAGCACAGCCGAGAAGGAAUGAAUGGCACAGCAGAGAAGGAGAGAAGAGAAGGAGCAUCUGAACGUUGAGAGUUCAACUAGAAAUGGUCAGAGAGGAGACUGAUCAUGGGAUAGCCAAACUCCAGGAGAAGAUUAUGUUCCCACUCCAUCCCCUUUCCAGAUCCCCAAUCCAUCCCUCUGAGAGCCACCUCUACCACUCGAUAAAACCCCUGCAUUUACCAUCC